AAAACCAACCAACCAAAAAACCACAACACUACCAAAGGCAGAUGACACCCAUCUGGGGAAAACCACUGCUACUGAAGAUGCACAUUACUUAUUCUUUGGGAAACCUACAGUACAAAGUCCCUAGACCACUUCUGUGAAAAAAACAAGCACACUAUAGGUUUUCUCCUUAAUGUUCCAUAUUCCUUCUUCAUAUCCUCAAGUGGACGUACAGGUGGUAGAAUUGCCUCUGAUUACGCCAAAUGUAGACUGGAUCAUGCAUGGAAGCAUCGCUGACAGUCAUUCACCAUGAAUUCUCCCCUGAUCUCAAGCAUAGAGUUCAAUAUAAAUUUUUGUCCCACAGGCUACUUUGGCAGAUUGUAGAAGAACUGUAUGUAAUUAGCACCAAAAAGAAAUUAAUCUGAGAAGACAAAAGCUAUCAUCAAAAGAUAACAUGGAUACUGAUUUUCUGUGCGUGGCAGGAGUUGGAACAGAUGCAGUGAAGCAGAAGCUAGAAGAAUCUGUUUGCUCUGAUUGCUGGCCAGAGGGCAACGUGGGGUACAUGGGAAAGCUGAGGGCAAAGGAACAGCUCUUUCAGACUGAUCAAAGUCUGCAACCAUAG
rnacentral:lncRNA from 1 species